rnacentral:misc_RNA from 1 species
AACGCACCUUGCGCCUCUUGGUAUUCCGAGGGGCAUGCCUGUUUGAGUGUCGUUGAAUCCUCAAAAGGGAAGCUUGACCGUUUCUCUUUUGGAAUUGGGGUGUGCUGGCCUUUUGUCAAUGAAGCCCAGCUCCUCUAAAAUGCAUUAGCGAUGUGACAUCCGCAUGCACCGCGCUUCUCUGGCAUUGAUAGUAUCUUCAUGCUAGGGGCGGGUUUUGCAGCUGUGGAAAGCUUUGCUCGCUCACAACUGAUGGCGUGGAGAGGUGCCUUUGUGCCUCCUCACCUAUCCUCUGACAAUAUCACCUCAAAUCAGGUAGGAUUACCCGCUGAACUUAA